rnacentral:rRNA from 1 species
CCUUGUACACACCGCCCGUCACACCACGAAAGUGGCCCCAACCAGAAGCAGGUGCGCUAACCUUCGGGAGGUAGCCUGCCAAGGUUGAGGCCGUGAUUGGGGUG